UCUAAUACCGGAUACAACCACUGACCGCAUGGUCGGGUGGUGGAAAGCUCCGGCGGUGCAGGAUGAGCCCGCGGCCUAUCAGCUUGUUGGUGAGGUAGUGGCUCACCAAGGCGACGACGGG
rnacentral:rRNA from 1 species